rnacentral:lncRNA from 1 species
GUGGACUAUGCAGUGUAUCAGGGAGGCACUGGGACAAAAUGACCCCUUAAGAAUCCUGUUCUGCAUUGGAAUGAGGAUAGAAAGUCUCUGGAGCUUAUAUGCUACCAUUUCCCCUUUGGGCAUCAACAUGGAGAUGGAGGAAGUGUGUGGCUUUUCCAGCCGAAGCACCCUGGAGGGUCAACUCAAAGCUGGACACCCCAUGGUUUCUCCUGGCCAUACCCAUCCGCAGCCUGCCAUGCAGGAGGCUGGGGCUGGGAUGGGGCAAAUUUUCUUACAGGACUGGUGACUGGGGGAUGGGGCAAUGCACAACUGACACAGGGAAAGGCUGAACAUAGGAGGAAUGGGAUUCCAUCAGAGCAAUUUGCCCAGCUUUUUUCUUUAUUUCCUUAUACAUUUUUAAAGCAUAUGUAUUGCUAGUAAAAGUGCUGGCUGGACAAAGCUCACUCCUGCUGUGCAUGCUGCCUUUUCUUUUCUGAAUAUCUGUGAACCUCUCUAGGCAUUUUGUCUCUUGGACAUGGACUGGCAGAGAAACUUAGUCAGUGUGGAUUCCCAGUUUGCUUUUGCAGGAGGCUUUGCUGGCUUGCUGGCAGCCCUGCCUGGCUAGCUCCAGCCCUGCAGGGCCCAGGAUGCAGGCUUGCAGCACCAGAUGGAGAGAGGGAAGGCAGACCCAGUGAGGGUACCCAGGAGGAGAAGCAAAGGCCCAAGAAGAGGGAGCAUGUGCAGGGCUUUCUGGACAGGAGCCCAGCCUGGAACAACUCUCCUGAUUUGGGGAAAAUAAAAUCACAAAUGAGAAUAGCAGGAGGCCAAGAACCAGCUGGAGACAAAGGAGUGUUAGCUUCUAGUGGAGGCUUCGAGACCAGAAAGGCUCUGAUGACAUGCUCAAAAGUCUGACCUGCCUCGGACAGCUGCCAUCCAAGCUUUGGGCCUGGAAUGUUGUCACAAGCCCAGAAAACUGUGUUGUCUACCAUAUCUGAGAUGAAGAAAGGCUGAUGAGAAAGGAUAGCUUGAGGCUCUCUCCUGCCUUCCAAUCUCAGCCUUCUCUGUCUCCCCAGGUUACUUAGUCAGUAGGGUCAAGGUCCAACUUCUUGUCCACUAGGCAGCUGAGAGCAGCAGUAGGGGAAGAAAGGGGAAAGAGAUGAGAAGAAUGUGAGGAGAGGAAGGGUUGAGCUGCUGAUGAGGAAAGGAAACAGGUGAAGGAGGAGAUGAAGAAAGAAGUAGGUCUUGAAGGGGAAAAUAUAUAAGUGGGGAGGAAGAAGAUGAGAUGGAGAGAAGAUGAAGGAGAGACAGGCUUCUAAGGAUGAGAGAAAAGAAGGAAGAAGAGGGAAAGGGAAUGAUGGAGAUAAGAAGGAUCUAUAGUCUUCUGAGAAGAAGGAUAUAGGAGAAAAAUAUGUGGAGAAGGAAGAGGGGUAAGAGGUGAGGAAGAGAAGGAAGGGGAGGGGAGGGGAGAGGGAAGAAUGACACAGAGAUAAAAGAGGAGGGAGUGCCAGUCUUGAGGUAUAGAAACCACAUAAGUUUCAGAAUACAGUGGCUCCUUAUCCACCAUCAUCCCUGUGAUAGCAGCUGAGACAGUCUUUGCAAAGGGCUUUGCAAAUUUCAAUCCAGAGGAUACAAAUAGAACAGUAGCUUGAGAAGUCCCAGCCUGACCCUGUUGGGCAUAUGCCAUUCUCUAGGUCCAUUCUUGAGCAAUUCAUUAUGGACACACUCAGAGAGGACUGCUAAUCCUGCAGAUUGAAGGACAUGUCUGCAGUUAGGAGCACUUUCAGGUCUGCUACAUCACUGCUCGGCAUAGGAAGAACCCUCUAACCUUAGCCCCCUAGAAACCAGAAAAGUUUGACCUGCCAUUUGGCUAUUGCUUUGUACUAACUGAUUAUCAUCUAUCUGACUCGAGCCUUUCAGGACAUUUUCAAACCUGGAUAAAGGUGUGUAGAGCUUGAACAAAGAUCUCUUUCCAGUAAAGGAAGAAUUAACCUAUGUCUGAAGAAUAUUGUGUAAUAUACUUGUGUAUGCACUCACACAUAUAUCUGCACACACAUGUGUGUACAUGUGAAAUAAUUCUACAGAAUUUCAGAUAUUUGUAUAUUUUUCAGGCAUGUUAUUACAUUGUUGUGGCUUAUGAUAUAUAAUAUCGUAAGUUAUUAAUACUGGCAUCCUAGUUUCAUAGAGGUUAAGAAACAUGAAAUUGUGACUUGUGUAAGUUCACACAAAUCUUGAAUGACACAAGUAAGAUCAACAUCUAGUUUUCUCAUCUAAUACAAUAUUUCAUAUUCUUUCUAUUAUUUGGUUCUGACUCUAAGUUAAACAAGAUGGAAAAAUGGGAGCAGGUAGGCUGCUAAUUAAAGCUUCUCUCUUCUUUCCUAUAAUGCAUUAUAGGCUACUUUAUCUGGCUUGUUUCUUAGAUCAGUCACUCUAAUUAGAGAUUAUACGUCCUCAGUGUUUACAUUGUAGAACCAGGAUUUUAACCAAGAUCUUCAGGACUUCCUGGAUAUAAUCUGUUCAUGACUCUGGGAGAGGAGUCCCUGGGAAUUCAUAUGCUUUGCCAACAAGGAGACCUGGCUUUGAACUCUAGAUCUAGUGUCAGCUCUGCUAACUGGCACAAGGUCCCAGGAACCUCAGUUUCUCAGCUGUCACAGUGACCCAACAAGAACCAUCUUGUUUAUGUUUGUAAAGGUGAAGGAAGGGUUAAAGGUGGGUCUCCAGCACAGAUUCAGACACAGUGGUCACUAAGUAACAUCUGCAGAAAAUCUAUAGAUUUUUCUGUUUACAUUUUGGCUGUCCUCUCUUUACAUUGCUAAGGUGGGUAUGAUUUGCCAAGUUUCACUUAGACCUAAUGGCCCAUUUAGAUCAAGUUACUGUCUGUAAAAACAGUUGACACCCAAAAGAGCAAUUUCGAGGAAAAAACUAAUACCCAAAGGGAUAAGUGAGAUUCCCCGAGGGCAAACAGUUUCUACAAUUCUCAUUCUUGAUUCUUCUGUCUAAACCAUACCUGACUUUUGCCAUGUUAUUGCUGCACAGAAGACCAGGGCAUAUAGCCUCUUAUGCUGCUUCCUGUCCUGCUCUCAGGAGAGUGUGAGUCAUGUCUCCCCCACUUGCCCCAUUCUGUCAGCUUGAGUAGGGGAUUUUCUUUGGCUUUUCCUUCUCCAAUGGAACAAAAGGAAAGAGUUGCUGCUGCUGUAGCUACUGGACUGGAAGAAAUCCUCCCGGCAUCCUGUGGUGGUUGAUCCUGACUGCAAAUUUGACUGGGUUUUGAAUCAACUAGGAAACAGCCUCUGGCCUUUUCUGUUGAGAAUUUGCUAAGAAGGAAAGGCCUGUCAUAAGAACAGAGAACCCAAAAUAAAGGGGUCUCUCUGCUUUUUCCUAUAUGCCUCCAUAUCCACUGAUGCUAAACUAGCUUCUUGGUCUUUCAGUGUGGGUUCCACAUAACUCUACAGAUAUCAGGCUUCCAGAGCCAGCUUGAAUUCUCUUAUGAGCCAUACUGCUAUCCUAUGUAGCUCCUAUGGUUUAAGUCAGUUAGUACUAUAUAGACUUAAAUGUAUAUGUACAUUGUAUCGGCUCUAUUCACCCUCUUUUCACCAUAGCCUGGAUAUCAUGUGGCUCUUUGUCAUAGUGGUGCUGUCAACAAUCUUUCAGCAAAGACAGAGACCACAGAGACAAUACCUAGCUUUAAGAGGAACACUGCAUUUCACAUUCUCUUUGCAGGUGUUUUGCAAGGCUGUGAGACCGAGAAUGAUUUCUGUUUCUUUUUGUUAUUUUAUACCUCAAAUUAUUCUUUUGCCUUCCUGUCCUAAAAAUAGAAUAACAUGCUCAAUUUUGUUCUUAACUCCUCUACUCUGAUACAGCCCCUGCAUUUCUAGGCCUUCUGUAUUUCCCUCCUCUGAUGCAUGUAACAUCUUGAUAAUCCCAACAUUGGAGUGGAGAAAUGGAAAGGAAAUAGCAUAAUAAAAC